rnacentral:rRNA from 1 species
AUUGAACGCUGGCGGCAUGCUUUACACAUGCAAGUCGAACGGCAGCACGGGCUUCGGCCUGGUGGCGAGUGGCGAACGGGUGAGUAAUAUAUCGGAACGUACCCAGAAGUGGGGGAUAACGUAGCGAAAGUUACGCUAAUACCGCAUACGAUCUAUGGAUGAAAGCAGGGGACCGCAAGGCCUUGUGCUCCUGGAGCGGCCGAUAUCUGAUUAGCUAGUUGGUGAGGUAAAGGCUCACCAAGGCGACGAUCAGUAGCUGGUCUGAGAGGACGACCAGCCACACUGGAACUGAGACACGGUCCAGACUCCUACGGGAGGCAGCAGUGGGGAAUUUUGGACAAUGGGCGCAAGCCUGAUCCAGCAAUGCCGCGUGAGUGAUGAAGGCCUUCGGGUUGUAAAGCUCUUUUGUCAGGGAAGAAACGGUAGAGGCUAAUAUCCUUUGCUAAUGACGGUACCUGAAGAAUAAGCACCGGCUAACUACGUG